UUGAUUUAUUUGAAAUUUUUGGAGCAUAAAGCUAUAUAAGCUGAGCUCUGAAAGGCACCAGUUUUGGUGAAUUUGAAGAAAAUCUGAAUUUCUAGUGAAUUUCUAAGUGAAGAGGGUUGGUCACCAUGGUAGUUUGGAUCACUCAACUUCAAGGGAGGAAUUCUCACGAUUGGAUCAUUAGAUUACAACGAAGAUUGUUGGAUCAAAAGCACCUUCAAGUCAAACUUGCAACAAACUAAGAAUCAUUCAAAUUGAAGCCGAUUACAAAUUUUGGCAAAUUUUGGAGUAGAAGGGGGUCGCUGCCUUCAAU
rnacentral:lncRNA from 1 species